rnacentral:ncRNA from 1 species
UUAAAAUUUGAUUCUGAUUUUAAUAGAUAAUUUAUGGAUAAAUUUUUACAUGUGGCUUUUUGUGAGUUAUGAUUUUUAUCUAAAUGAUAAAUUUUUAUUUAUUCGCAGUUUGUAUUUUUGUUUUUUAUUACUUUUAGAAACAGUUAUUUUAUUUAUUGAUUAGCAAAAAUUGUGCCAGCGGCUGCGGUUAUACAAUUAAUCAAAAUUAUCUUUUUUAGUGUAUAUUUAUUAUAUAUUUGUGAUGUAAAAUUUAUAAAUUUUUAAGUGAAAUUUAAAUUUAUUUAAUUUUGUUAGGUUUAAGAUUAUAUGAAAUUUAUUUUUAGACUAGGAUUAGAUACCCUAUUAUUUUAAAUGUAAUUUUUACCUUUAGUAUUAUUAGUUAUGAUCUUUAAAUUAAAAGGAUUUGACGGUAAUUUAAUCUUUUCAGAGGAACCUGUCCUUUAAUUGAUAAUCCACGAUGAAUUUUACCUUUAAAAAAAUUAUUUAUUUUGGCUUGUAUACCUCUGUUUAUUGAGUGUUUUAUUAGAAAUUUAUUCUCUUUGAUUUAUUUAAAAUGUAUAUCAGGUCAAGGUGCAGCUAUAUAAAGGUGGAGAUGGGUUACAUUAAUAUUUAAAUUAUGAAUUAAAUGUUGUAUUAUAUUUAUGAAAUUGGAUUUGAUUGUAAUUUUUAUUAUUUUUUAAUAAUGAUUUAUGCUCUAGAUUAAGUACACAUCGCCCGUCGCUCUCAUUAUUUAAGAUGAGAUAAGUCGUAACAAAGUAGGCUUACCGGAAGGUGAGCCUGGAAAUAA